rnacentral:lncRNA from 1 species
UGUUGCACUAGAUGUGUGAACGUUGCUGGUGGGCUGUGGACUCCAAGUUGCUGCCUUUAAUUUUAUCUUGGUGGCAGCUGGACCACUUCUUCUUUGCUUCCAACACCUACUGUAAUAAUGUGCACAUGUCCAAGCAAGCUAGACCACUGCUGGACCAAGGCCUGACACCUCUUCACAUGCUGCAGCUGGGCCAUGAACGUUUUGCUACUAGUUGAGUGAAUAUAUUGCAGCUGCUGGUGCUGGACCAUGGACUCCCUUUUUA